rnacentral:lncRNA from 1 species
GGGUCUAAUUAGAUUAGCUUACAUUUGCAAAAUUGAUAUGUUAGCACAUAUUGCAAAAACUAGGUCUCUGUUUUGAAUCGGAUUUGAAAUUGAUUCCAGAAUGGGAUAAUUAAGGCCAAAUUAAUUCAAAUCAAUUUUGGAUUUGAGUUGGAUUAGCCCUUAUCUAUAUGUAUCAAAAAUUUCAAGCCAAAAAAACUAAAUCUCCAUGAGUCAAGAAUUUUUCUUGUGCAUGGGUACAGUUUUUGUGCACAGAAACAGCUUUCACAUCCCA